UUUUCUAUAUUUCCUAGUUUAAGAGCGAAAAGCGCGCUGUAAGCAAAAACCACAAAACCAAAUUGACAGUCAACAGCAUGCGCUAUUGAUUGGCUCUCCGCUCAGCUAAUUUGCACUGACAUUCACAUUGCACUGUUCACACACUCACACACACAUCUUAGUCGGAUCAAUUCGCUAAAACUUUUCUUUAUCAUCGAAGAACAUAAAGUACCUGCUUUCUUUGUUUGCGCUCCACUUGCAGCGGCGAUGCUUUGCUGCCUCGAAAAAAGAAUAACGCGAGAAUUUAUUAAACUGGGACAAAGUCCGAAUCGCAAGCGAGAGGAGCAGAAGCUUAUGCGAGCGCAAACAAACUGCUGCAAACAAGUGCUUACCAUACAUACAUCUAUGGAGCAUAAGUCUUGCUGUUCGCCCUGUUGGGGCGCAGUGGCACUUGUGUUCUUUACUACCUUUUAAGAAUAUGGAAUUGGCAUUUAAUUUUACCUUUAUCGACAAUAAAAUAUAGCCAAUGCGCCAAGUGAGUUGCAGCAAGUAA